AGGGCCUGGUGUCACACACAGAGCUGUGGCGAGGGGCAGAGGAGCAGUCCAUGGUCAGCGUUAUGCCUGAGGAGGAGAACAGGACCCACCUGGGAGCCUGCUUGCCAGAAGGAGAAAUGGCACAAGAGGAAAUACAUCUUCACAGCCUGGAGAGAGGAGAAGGUUGGAAUCCGAGUCCAUAAACAGCGUUGCUGUGCAGUGAGCAAAGACAGAGCAGGUUGGGCUCUGGAGAGUGUAACCCCACCUCUGCUGCUCCACUGCCAAUUAAAAAUAAAGAAGUGGAACUUG